GCUAAUGGACACCUAUCCUAACCAGUCUGGGGAAGGGCUUGGAGCUGAAUGAAGAGAUGGAGAUGAGCCACAGCAACCAAGAGCAGGAAGCUGAAGAAGAAUACGAAGGGAGAGGACAGUCCAAGCGGCUUGUCCCUUACCCUCAUCGCUGAUCAGAGAGAAGAGAGCAACAUUAAACAAACUUACAGUAUCGAGACACCAUGAAACCAGUGCCUAACCAAGGGAGACAGAGACAGAGUCUGCUGGUGUUUGUCUGGUUCUUCUCUUCAGGGAGAAAUAAGAAGCAAAGAAAUAAAAGUUGUUUGAGCUCUUGUUGGCCACACAGGUGAAGACUUGAAGGGAGUUGUUCUUGCAGAAUGGCAGAGACAACAUGUGCAAUCACUAACCUAGCAAAAGAGUGAGGUAGGUACCUGCAAAAAGAGUUCUCAGAGCUGAUGUGGCGUUAUCGCCAUGUUCCCACCCAGCCCCGUAACCUCAAGGCCAACCACAGCCCCACAAUUGUUCGCAUUAUUUUCUCACAACAGUAUUUUUUCACACAUCCCUACACCACAGGCCUUCCCUUUAUGCCAUGCCGCCACAGAGCACCCUACUGCAGAACUCCAGCUCUGCCCUUCAGCCACACUUAAUAGCUCUCUCCUCAAACCGUUUGCCGAUGCCAGGACCAAUUAAUAGGCAGGAGCAUUGCACCUCUUCAUCUCCAAGACCUCCAGGCGUUUCACAAGUUAAAUAAAUCCUUUCUGCAACCCAA